GGAGAGUUGGCUGAGUGGUCGAAAGCGACGGUUUGCUAAACCGUUGUAGGCUUAACCCCUACCCCGGGUUCGAAUCCCGGACUCUCCG
rnacentral:tRNA from 1 species